UACACCUGUUCCCAUUCCGAACACAGAAGUUAAGCUUCGUAACGCCGAGAGUAGUUAGAGGAACGCCUCUUGCGAGGGUAGGAAAUUGCUAUAU
rnacentral:rRNA from 1 species